CUAACUGGAGGACCGAACCGACUAAUGUUGAAAAAUUAGCGGAUGACUUGUGGCUGGGGGUGAAAGGCCAAUCAAACCGGGAGAUAGCUGGUUCUCCCCGAAAGCUAUUUAGGUAGCGCCUCGUGAAUUCAUCUCCGGGGGUAGAGCACUGUUUCGGCAAGGGGGUCAUCCCGACUUACCAACCCGAUGCAAACUGCGAAUACCGGAGAAUGUUAUCACGGGAGACACACGGCGGGUGCUAACGUCCGUCGUGAAGAGGGAAACAACCCAGACCGCCAGCUAAGGUCCCAAAGUCAUGGUUAAGUGGGAAACGAUGUGGGAAGGCCCAGACAGCCAGGAUGUUGGCUUAGAAGCAGCCAUCAUUUAAAGAAAGCGUAAUAGCUCACUGGUCGAGUCGGCCUGCGCGGAAGAUGUAACGGGGCUAAACCAUGCACCGAAGCUGCGGCAGCGACACUAUGUGUUGUUGGGUAGGGGAGCGUUCUGUAAGCCUGUGAAGGUGUACUGUGAGGUAUGCUGGAGGUAUCAGAAGUGCGAAUGCUGACAUAAGUAACGAUAAAGCGGGUGAAAAGCCCGCUCGCCGGAAGACCAAGGGUUCCUGUCCAACGUUAAUCGGGGCAGGGUGAGUCGACCCCUAAGG
rnacentral:rRNA from 1 species